rnacentral:rRNA from 1 species
GUGCCUAACACAUGCAAGUCGAACGAGAAAGUGGAGCAAUCCAUGAGUAAAGUGGCGACCGGGUGAGUAACACGUGACUAACCUACCCUCGAGUGGGGAAUAACCUCGGGAAACCGGGGCUAAUACCGCAUAAUGUCUUCGGAUCAAAGGAGCAAUCCGCUGGAGGAGGGGGUCGCGGCCGAUUAGCUAGUUGGCGGGGUAACGGCCCACCAAGGCCAUGAUCGGUAGCCGGCCUGAGAGGGCGCACGGCCACACUGGAACUGAAACACGGUCCAG